rnacentral:lncRNA from 1 species
AAAUAUAUAUUGAUAACCUCCCAUUUCCAUUUGGGAAAAACAAUCUCUUGGAAUAGCCCACCAAGUCUAAUGUUCUUAACUUUAACUUGUUGACACACCAAGCACUUGGCCAAAAAAUCAGCCAUCCGAUUUCAUACAAUUCCACCAAUACAUCUUCUGGAGAUCAUGAUACAUCUUUGUUGAGCCAGGAUGUACAACGU